CACGCAGUAAACGAUGAUUACUCGCUGUUUGCGAUACACAGUAAGCGGCUUAGCGAAAGCGUUAAGUAAUCCACCUGGGGAGUACGUUCGCAAGAAUGAAACUCAAAGGAAUUGACGGGG
rnacentral:rRNA from 1 species